CAGGAUUAGAACAGUACAUCCAUUCUUUGAGGCAUGCGUGCGGGUAGCGACGGGGGUCCGUGGCGGGGCGACUCGGCUGCGCCCUGCGCUGGCCCGCACGUCGCCGACGAUGCCCGAAUCUUCUCCAUGAGCAA
rnacentral:sRNA from 1 species